AUUUAUAUAGUUUAUUUAAAACAUUACAUUUUCAUUGUAAAAUAAAAAUCAUUUUUUUUAUAAAUA
rnacentral:tRNA from 1 species